rfam:Acanthisitta chloris contig87372, whole genome shotgun sequence.
CCAAAGGCUUUUUAUAUGUCAGAUGUGUUAAAGCCACACAGAUUUGCAGACAAGUGAGCU